rnacentral:ribozyme from 1 species
AGAAAAAGGAAAGAACGAGAUGAUAACGCGUGGGGGAUGUUGUCGGCUCAGACAGAAGAAUUACCAUCCGACUCAGACUGGACAGACGAAGAUGAG